CAUCUCCUCCACUGCUUCUGACUCUGCUCCACAAGGCAAGGCAGCUCCCACACAGCAGGCAUCCAGCCUAACUCCCAGCAGGGAGAGUGUGAGAUGUCUGUGGAUGAGCCCACAGGGACUACAGGAUUCUGUGGGAAGACAUCUGGUAGCUUCUGGAGCAGCUGCAGCAGCCAAGAUACAUGAAGUACAGUGGAGUUCAGAUCCUCAGCUGGCCUCAUCACGGACAGUCCCAUGAGGAGUGGGUGUUUGUUUCCUGCUUCACAGUUAGGGCAGGAACAAGCCCAGACGCAGUCUUGCUUUUAACUACUGGACCCAACACAAAGCCUCCCUUGCAGGCUUACCAGAGCAUGAAAACGAAAUGGCCACCUCCUGUAACAAGAAAGACUUCUAGAAGAGGAAGGAGACAUCAAUACAUUCACAAAACUUUCAACUCGAAAUCUGUCUUGCCAAUAAGUGUGCAGGGAUAAAGACAGAAAAGUAGCACACCUGUCUCCAGAGGCUUCACUCAGCAGCUGAAAGCCACAGCCAAUCCUCAGAUGGAGCUCGGGAAGUCUUGUGGAAGAGUGGGGGGAGAGUGACAAGGAAACUGGUUGGGAUAAAACACUACAAGUAGUCCCCUACCGUCAGAUACCUUGGACCAUGGAGUAUGCUAGAGCCUGUGCAACCAACCCCAGAGCCAGAUCUUCAGGAAACAUCUCAACGAAGAACAAGAGAGGCUGAAGAAGAAUGGGGAAGGGUUUGAUCCCUGAAGUUCCUCAGUGUCCACUAGCACAGCACUUGUCCUUGGGAGAUGACAUUUUUCACUCUUCCUGACUGUUGCAC
ensembl:lncRNA